UUGUAAUUGUAUUUAAAUAUAUUAGUAUAUUGUAAUUAUAUUGAUCGAUUAUUAAUUAAAUUCACUUCUAAAUAUGUUUUCAAUUUAAAGUUCUUAGAAUGAUGCAUUGAUAUAAAAAUGUUACAUAUACUACUUGUAUUUAUUCAGUUUUGACUUCAUAAAUUUCCGUUACGAAGAUGCAGAAGUGAAAGCUAUAGAGACAAUGCAGGUUAUCUGUGCACAGAUUGCCGAAGUUGAACACUAUGUCCUGGUGGACGUAUCCAUACUGAUAUAUGAAAAAAUUUCAAAGAAGGUGGUUUACGACGACAAAGUUUAUCUCUUCCUGGAAGAGGAAACAACUCUUACCGAAUUCGAUCAACAAAUUUGUUUCGAUAGUGAACAAAAUUCACAGAUCUACCAUAAACGAAAAGAAUGUUUUGAUUGUGUAUGGUGACGGAUAUACACCUGGUGGUGUAUUUGUUGUCUUGUCAUAUAUCAUAGAAAAAUAUGAAUACGAAUUAGAAAAUUAU